GACGAACGCUGGCGGCAUGCCUAACACAUGCAAGUCGAACGAGACCUUCGGGUUUAGUGGCGGACGGGUGCGUACCGCGUGGGAACCUGCCCUUAGGUUCGGAAUAACUCCCCGAAAGGGGUGCUAAUACAGGAUAAUGUCAUCGGACAAAAGAUCUAUCGCCUUUGGAUGGGCCCGUGUUGGAUUAGCCAGUUGGUAGGGUAAAAGCCUACCAAGGCGACGAUGCAGAGCUGGUCUGAGAGGAGGAUAAGCCAGACUGGAACUGAGGCACGGCCCAGACUGCGACGGGGCGGAGGAGUGGGUAGUAUUGUGCGAGGGGCGAUAGUCUGAUACAGCAAUGCCGGGUGAGUGAGGAAGGCCGUAGGGUUGUAAAUCUCUUUUAGCCGAGAUGUGAAUGACGGUACCGGGUGAAGAAGCACCGGCUAACUACGUG
rnacentral:rRNA from 1 species